CCUACGGGUGACAGCAGUGAGGAAUAUUGGUCAAUGGGCGAGAGCCUGAACCAGCCAAGUCGCGUGAAGGAAGAAGGUACUUAGUAUUGUAAACUUCUUUUGUCGGGGAACAAGGGCGGAGACGCGUCUCCGGGUGAGUGUACCCGAAGAGAAAGCAUCGGCUAACUCCGUGCCAGCAGCCGCGGUAAUACGGGGGAUGCGAGCGGUAUCCGGAUUUGUGGGGGUAAAGGGGUGCGCAGGCGGGAGAUAAAGUCAGCGGUAAAAUGUCGGGGCUAAACCCCGGCCGGCCGUUGAAACUGGUUUUCUAGAGUUGGAGAGAAGUAUGCGGAAUUCGUGGUGUAGCGGUGAAAUGCAUAGAUAUCACGAAGAACUUCGAUUGCGAAGGCAGCAUACCGGCUCCAUACUGACGCUGAGGAACGAAAGCGUGGGGAUCGAACAGGAUUAGAUACCCUUGUAGUC
rnacentral:rRNA from 1 species